ensembl:lncRNA
AAACUUAUGAUAGGUACGAUGGUCUUUCGUUCUACACGGUGCAUUUCAAGGUCCUGCACCCAUCCGUCGGUAAACUGUACCUGGGCUUGUUGCAGUGACCUGAAGUUACUAAACUUCAUGAGUGUGUGCACUCACUCCAAGAACCGUAUGAUUAUAAAUAUGCAUAUAAAUAUGCUACAAUGAGAUAGCUGACUUCAUCUAACUAGCAAAUGUUGUCCAGGCUACGUUGGUGAUACAGUUUUUUUUAAUAUGUAUGAUAUUUUUGUCAUGCGAUUUUAAAGCCGGUCCUACAACCGCAUCCAAGAAUAACAUGCAGCUUAUCUCAGAACUGUCGGUGAAAAUUAUUCUUGGAGCUAGGUUUAAUUGAGCUGCAUUUUAAAGAGGUGCAAUUUCACAAUUUGUGUAUAUUUUCUAAGUUCACUAUUUUGUCAUGUGUUGAGAAAAACACAGAUUUUAAAAUUACAUGGUCUAAUAUUUACAUUUAGCAUAACUGCAACAUUAUUUUUUCAUUUUUUUUUUUUUAUAUAAAGACUCGAAAGGACUUGAAAUUCAAAGUUUCAGACUUGUGACUUUACUUGGACUUUUACACCAGUGACUUGAGACUCGACUCUGACUUGCCUGACAUUACUUGAGACUUGACUUGAGACUUGAGGAUAAAGACUUGAGACUUACUUGAGACUUGCAAAACAAUGACUUGGUCCCACCUCUGUCUCAAACUACUGAGUGACUGAUGCUGAUCGCUCAACAAUCCAGCAAGGAGUAGCUCAGUGCUGCCAUGUUAAGCAGGGCUCGGGAUUAUGAAGAUAGGCAGCGGGUGUGGAGAUGGCAGGUGGGUGGGUCAGGGGCGGGAGCCUGUAAUGAGCACCGCCCCGGCAGGAGGGAGAGAAAGAGCAAAACAACAAAACCACAUGUUGCCUAAUAUGGGUCAGCUGGUGAGGCACAGGCACCAUGACAUGAUCAGACGUUAGGUGACGUCCCGCUGGAACUAGUCAUUCGGGAGCUGUACAUUUGCGCACCAGCAGAGGGCCCCUGCCCAGCUAAAUAACCAUAACAAAGUGCACUGUUCAGACAACACAUACAAGUGGUCGUAACACUUUCUUCAAACACCUUGCUUUUGAGAAUGGGAUUCAUCACAUAUUUGCCAAAGAUAAACAAUCUUUAAAUACAAAUUUAUUCAUGAUGUCUUUUCUAUCCUCCUCUUAUGACCCCUUGUUGACCUCAUGCCUUGUAGGGGAAUUCAGUUCAAGUUGCAGUUGCUUAGCAGUUGUCUGUUGCCCAACAACAAGUAAGUGAUGAAGUUUGGCUGCUAACAUUAUUCAAACACAUAUUAUAAAAAGGAUAAUGGAGCCCCAGUUCCACCACUCCACGUGUUGAAGUGCACCUAGAGAAGAUGCUGAAAUCAAAGUCCCUGACCUGGAGCGGGCACUCCACCCUUUUCCGAUUGAGGACCACGCUCAAAUUUGGAGGUGCUGAUCCCCAUUCCUGCCACUUCACACUCAGCUGCAAACUGCUCCAGUGCGAGCUGGAGGCCAUCACGUGAUGAAGCCAACAGAACCACAUCAUCUGCAAAAACCAGAGAUGAGAUUCUGAGACCAACUAAGUGAAAGCCUUCUGCCACUUGGCUUGGCCUAGGAAUUGUCCAUAAAAAUUAUUAACAGAAUCAGUGACAAAGGGCGGCCCUGGCGGAUACUGAUGUGUCGGUCGCGAACGAAACGGGUUAGAGCCGGAUCUUUGAAGUGAAUGACGCGAGUCGGCACCUUAUUGGGAGCUGUGUUUCUUUUUUCUUUCUCUCACCCUCUCUGUGCUUUGCGCUGGGCAGAGGGGGGAGGGGCGGUAGUUACACUGGCAGUAGCACAGGAACAGAGCGGGAGGGAGAGAGAGAGAGAGCAGGGACAACAACGUCACAUUAGAAAGGUAUAGUAAUCAUCCACAACUAUUUUCAGUUGCAGAUGAUAAGGGAUUCAGAAAGUUUAUUCAUGCAGGUCCAUAUGACAGAGAAUGUGCAUCUUCUUUUUGUUUUCAUAGUUUAUAUUUAAUUGUGUUGUGGUUUGUAGUGUUUUGUGUUGUUUCACUUUAAAUUUGUUUAAAAAGCUGAAAAUUUAAAUAGUUAAAAGUUGAAAUGCGAAUAGUUGUUUUUUGUAUUACAUGAUUUAUUUAUUACAUUUCAUGUGGAGUGAAUAAAUAAAAGUAAAUUUACGAUGGCCCCUAGAGACAAAGCACAUACAAACUCCAAAGCACGUACAACAGAAGUGCUCCAGGAUGCUAGGGGGCGGUGUUGAGCUUUGGUUACCUCGUGGCUACACAAGCCAGGAAGUACCAACGACCGGAUUUGGUUUUUUUUUUUUUCAUACUUUAAUUAAAUUUAUGCACAUAUUACAAUCUCUCGUUGGGAGACAACAUUAGUGCAACAACAUCUUGAAAAGGUUGAAUAAGAAACCAAACGAAAAAAACCCAAAAAACCCCCAAAAAAAACAAAAAAACAAAAACACAUAUAUACAUAUACAUAAAUAUAUGAAGGCCAUUUUUAUGACAUAUAACAGUUUCCUUUCUGCGAACACUUUAACAUACAUGUGGCUUACUUAGUACACCAAAAACACAAUCAUUAAAAGGAUAGAGAUUGAGUCCCAUUGUCGCAUAUCAAAGCAGCCUCUUUACAUGAAUCCCUCAAUAAUUCUAAAGAUGACAAAAAGGAUUUUAAUUCAAUUUUCAAUGCAGUUAGGGAAGGUCUUUUACUUUGCCAUUUGCAUUUGUGUAUGUGGUAUUUGCCCAUAAUUAUCACCACCUUGUGUAGCAUGGACAGUUCCUUAGAUGGAUCACCAUUAUUAUAUAAAACUUGUGUUAGAGUCAGUGGGGUCAUCCCAUCUAUUCUUAUACUCAACCAGUCUACUAAAUCUUGCCAGAAGUCAGUUGUUACUGAGCAGGAAAAAAACAAAUGAUCAAUACUUUCCACCUUUUGUGAACAAAAUCCACAUGGCUCUACCUCAAACCCAAACCUUUUUUUAAGCAUUUCAGCUGCUGGGUAAUAUCCAUUAAUUAUUUUAAAUUGCAUUUCUUUGACUUUGGGGGGGAUAGGCCAUUUUAAAAAGUGCGUAUAUUUGUUCGUUAUUU